AACAACGUAGCUCAACUGGAUAGAGCGCGGGGCUUCGGCCCCGAGGUGCCUGUUCGAAUCAAGCCGGUGUUA
rnacentral:tRNA from 1 species